GAACGCUGGCGGCAGGCCUAACACACGCAAGUCGAGCGGGGUUUCGGACCUAGCGGCGGACGGGUGAGUAAUGCGUAGGAAGCUACCCGAUAGAGGGGGAUACCAGUUGGAAACGACUGUUAAUACCGCAUAAUGUCUACGGACCAAAGUGUGGGACCUUCGGGCCACAUGCUAUCGGAUGCGCCUACGUGGGAUUAGCUAGUUGGUGGGGUAAUGGCUCACCAAGGCGACGAUCCCUAGCUGGUUUGAGAGGAUGAUCAGCCACACUGGAACUGAGACACGGUCCAGACUCCUACGGGAGGCAGCAGUGGGGAAUAUUGGACAAUGGGCGCAAGCCUGAUCCAGCCAUGCCGCGUGUGUGAAGAAGGCCUUCGGGUUGUAAAGCACUUUCAGCGAGGAGGAAGGGUUAGUAGUUAAUAGCUGCUAAUUUUGACGUUACUCGCAGAAGAAGCACCGGCUAACUCUGUG
rnacentral:rRNA from 1 species